rnacentral:rRNA from 1 species
UACAGAGGUCCCGAGCGUUGUUCGGAUUUACUGGGCGUAAAGGGUGCGUAGGCGGUUGGGCAAGUCUGAUGUGAAAGCCCCGGGCUCAACCCGGGAAUGGCAUCGGAAACUGCCUGGCUGGAGGGCUGGAGGGGGGACUGGAAUUCCCGGUGUAGCAGUGAAAUGCGUAGAGAUCGGGAGGAACGCCAGUGGCGAAGGCGAGUCCCUGGACAGCUCCUGACGCUGAGGCACGAAAGCCAGGGGAG